GCUUCCUACACUCGGGCCGGCUGUAUAAAAAUAUAAAUCACACUGUUC
rnacentral:rRNA from 1 species